UCUAAGUAACCUAGCACACUGAGAACUCAAAUAGCUACUUUGAGUACGAUUUUGAACGAUUUGAAGGCCGAUUCAAAAGAUGUUUUAGUUGAACAAAAGAUAGACCAAGGAUUUGCCGUGCGAAGUGAACUACGAAGGUGAAGAUCGAGGUUACUUAGAGCAGAGAGGAGAGGAGUGGGCGCGCAAAGAAAUGAGCUGGGCUGCCUCAUAUAAUAACGAGCAGAUUCCAGAGCAUACACAGGCAGUGUCGGCAUGCAUAAAAUGCGAGAGCUCACCAACCGAUAGCCAGCAGAGCUGUCUCAUCGCAAGCCGCCGCCUCACACAGUGGCGGCAUGGCCCACGGGACCGUCUCCGUUCCGUCGCGGUGUGGAAUUCUGUAAUCUGCAGCGUGCCGCCUCACACCAUGGCGGCAGGGGCUGCCGCCUUGCGCCGUGACGGCAGGUGCCACGUGUCAGCUGGCGCGCCUACCGCCACGGUCAAGGGGGUCUUUUCUGACUAUUUGAUUUAAAGGUGGUUUUUUUUGUCAAUUCGUCUUGACAGGUGGUCUUUUUGGACAAAA